CGGAUGACCCCCGCCUCCAGCCGCGGUUCGCUCGCCUGCACGCCGAAUCCGCCCGGCGCCGCCGCCUAGUCUUCUUCCCGGGGAGAAAGAUCCAAUUUGACCGGGGAGGUCCAGUGCUUUUGACAGAGAAUUUGAGUCCAGCGGAUGAUCAUGUGUGAGAGAGAUCAAAGUUUCCCUUGGGCUAAUGAACUGUUCCGUGACCCUUUUGCUUCUACUGGAUACUAUGGACCUCCUAAUGGCUACAAUGAUGGCUACUAUUGUGACCACCAUUAUACUAGAGAUGCAUCCCAUCCAGAUGAGACACAUUUGCAUUCUUCUGCACUUACGUAUGAUUUUUACAACCCGUCAGUAGGCGUGUACCAUCAUGGAAAUGUUGGUGGGCAAGAGCAUGAGGCAGUCUAUGUAGAUCCGUCUAGUUCCUCUUCAUACCCUGCCAGUGACGACUGUUUCGAAAUGGAGGAAGAAGUUGGGAAGAGAUUUUACCCCAUGGUCCCAGUUGCCCAUGUCCCUAAAAUUAAUGGGCAAAUUCCAUCAUUUGAUGAAGCCACCAUGGACCAUGAAAGGCUGUCAGACAGGUUGAAGCUGUAUGAACUAGUUGAGCACAAGGUAAAAGGUGAUGGUAACUGUCAGUUCCGCGCGCUAUCAGAUCAGCUUUACCAAACUCCUGACCACCAUGAGUUUGUGAGAGAACAGAUAAUUAGCCAGCUUAAAAGUAACCGUGAUGCCUAUGAUGGGUAUGUCCCCAUGGCAUACGAUGAGUAUUUGGACAAAGUAUCACGAAACGGUGAAUGGGGUGACCAUGUGACACUGCAGGCAGCUGCUGACAAGUACGGAGUGAAGAUUUUUGUCAUGACUUCGUUCAAGGAUACUUGCUAUAUCGAGAUCCAGCCCAAGGUUGUGAAGUCCAACAAAGUGGUGCUGUUGAGCUUUUGGGCUGAGGUCCACUACAAUUCGAUAUCCCCACAGAACGGUGAGUAGCAUGCCUGCCUGCUCUUGGCAUACAUGCAAUGCGUGUCCGGUCCUCGUCGCCAACAAGCUCCGAGGUCGCAUAUAGUGAAAAAGAGGAGAUGGUGGCCGUUCUCGCAGCACCACCAUUGAUGACACUUUUCUCCUCGGCCUCGGCGCGUUGGCGUUACGGCGCGCAAAGGUUUUUUUUUUCUCUUUCUCCAUCAAGAUGACCCAGAGGCGCUCUACCAGGAGGGUCAUCGCCAUGAUGGUAUCCUGGUGUCCAUCUGAUCGAUAGAAGGGAAGAGCGUUAUGAUUAUCGAGAUAAUAUAGAUACAUGAAAGGAAUAAACAUGCAAUUUGUCCCGUAUAUAGUUUGAGUUGCAGGAUGUAAUACAUGUUUGUAUUUACAAAAUUUUGCCGGAAUGAGGCUACAGUUAAUCAUUGAAUCAUAGUACAAUGAUAUGAUGAUAAUGACCAUAAUAAUUUCUGGGUGGAGUCAGUGUUAACCA